rnacentral:lncRNA from 1 species
GUGAGUGCCCCCAUGCAAGCAGGUCCUCUGUGACGGCAUCUAGAUCACAAUGGGGAUGAAUCAGUAAGUGAAAACUUCUGGGGAAGGAGGGAGGAGUCUGCUAGCUUCUUUCUGCCAAGAUGAGCUGCGGUAGUCCUUUUCCUCCCUCCCCUCCUUUCUUUCUUCCCUCGUUUCUUUUCUUUUUCUUCCAUGUCAUUACGGAGAAGGGCACUGGAGGCUUACUGAAGAGCUUUGAGAAAUAGCAUAGAAGGCCCAGAGCAUUACUUGUUUCCAGAUGAUCAAGCUAAGGCUGUACCCUGGCUAUGAAUAGCCCAGCCUCCUGUGGUGUCCAAGCCUGGAGAGAUUCUGUCUCAUUCACUCCUGGUAGACUGGUUAACCCGGCCACAGGCUCCUUUUGCCUUCAGCGCUCCCCAACAGCCGAUGGCUGGCCAGCAUGUCCACCAUCUUCAUGCACAAGUCUGCCAUAGAUGUUGUUUGGGGCAGUUCCUUGGGUGUGUCUAUCUCACCCCGUCAUAGAAGGAGCUCUA